CAAAAAUAUUAUACAAAAAAUGUCAAACUAUUAAUUACUAUUUUGUUCACAAACUUUUCAAGUUACUAAUUCCCAAGUUCUUCAUUUUUUAAAUUAAUUCGUGGGACGGGGGCAUUGCUGGCUGCCCAGCAUUUUUUGCCCAUCCAUAGUUGUUCUUGAGAAAGUGGUUGUGAGCUGCCUUUUUGAACAGCUGCAGCCUACCUGCUGUUGUUGGACCCAUAAUACUGUUAGGGGAAUUCUGGGAAAUUGACCCAGCAACCGGCAGUAUAUUUCCAAGUCAAUUGUUCAUGACUAAAACCUUUAACAUUGCAUUACUUAAAGAUUAUGACAUGUUAAGAUGCUACAUCAUUAGAUCUCAACGAUCCAUCAUUAAUAUUUUCCCUAAAUCUCAUACAUCAAAUAAAUCCUUAAUAAUAAGUACAGAAAAUUCUACAGAUAUCGACAUAUCUGGAAGCAUCUGUGGAGAGAAAUGGGAUUAAUAUUUCAAGUCUGAUACGACUCUUUUUUGGACCUUCUGGUCCAGUUUCAAGUUCAGAUCAUGUGAAUGCAGACAGUCGGAAUACACAGAAACAGCUCCUUUGCGAGCAUUACUCGUAACUGUAUCUUGUUUGACUAAGAGAAAUCAAAGAAGAAAUCGCUUUCAUUCCAGCAGAGUCAUUGAUGGUGUGAAAAAGACAAGGAUGAAACAUCUGCCUCCAUCUUCAAUCAGAAGUGCUGGAUAGACAAUCCAUCUGGACUUCCUCCUGAGUCCCAGCAUUUAUCUCACCAGUCUUCAAUCAACUUAACUCACAUCAUAUGAUAUCAAGAAAUGGCUGAAGGUAUGGGAUUCAAUGGGCCCCAACGGCAUUCUGGAUGCACCGGUAAGGUUUUGUUCUCUAGAUCAACAUGAAUUCCUCAGGAUAAUGUUGUGGGGCCAACCAGUUGCUCUUUCUUCAAAGAUCGUCAUAAAGUAAGAGGAUGUUUUUGAUGAUUGCAGGUCAGUUCCAUUUGCAACUUCUCUCAUAAUAAAUCUCACCCUGUACUGCAUGCAGAAAUGCUCAGACAAUAUUUAAGCUAGAGCCGAUAGGUGUAUAGUAAUAUUCAUAUUACAGUAGCAUCAGGCAAUAAAUAUCUCCAGCAAAGUGCCAUCUAAACAUCUCCACAUUACAUUCAAAAGCAUUGGCAUGGUCGAAGACAUCUAUCGUCAGCUUCCUGGGUAGCAUCAUUACCCAGGAACUUAACUGCAGGAAUAUA